rnacentral:misc_RNA from 1 species
GGAAGUACACCUGAAGAAUAUGCUGCAAACAACAAUAAACACGAUUCAGUAUAUUCUGGAAGUUCGAUGCCCAAUGAGAAGCAUUUGAAAUUUGAUCUUUCAAAGCUUGCUAGAUCAUUCGAGUAAGAUUGCAAUAACACUUGUUUGUGUUGUGAAAUCAUAAAAUGCUAGUGCCUGAUUCAUCAUUCUUGUCAAUUUCCAUUUGUCCCCCAAGUAAUAUGGAUGUCAGCCUGGGUAGUGGUAAGAUUACUUGUCCACUUUAUCAUUGCCACUACAAUUCCUCAUCUCUUCUGAGCUGGUAAAAGCUUCUUGCUAAUUAGUUGAAUACCAUUCUUUUUUUUCAUUCUUUUUCCUUUUUUCCUUUAAUAAAUCCCUGUGAAUGAUUGCUAAUAAAUGAAAUUCCCAAUCUGGUUUUCUGAGAGUUCACAAUCUCUUUCAACUUAGCUUAAGAAAGAUUACUUGAUCUAGUUUAGGCAUAUAAAAGGAAGCAUCAAAGAGCAUGUGGGACAGUGACAUGAUACCUUACCUAGGGCCAAUGUAACAACUAGGAUAAUAAUAUAUUUCAGGAUGCACAAUAUGCAAAAGCAUUUGGAGUACUAUUCCAAGUUGCUGCAAUGAGGAAAAUAAUCACCAUCAAAUCAAAUUAGGUAACUACUAACUAAAGUUGUGCUCAUAAGUCAGCAGUACAAAAGCAUCAUUGAAUUUUAAAGGGAUUGAUGCAAACCUCAGCCUGCAUUAAUGCAUCUAAGGUAAUCCAUCAAAAGGUAAAUCAAAUUUGCCUAUCAUGCAGAAUGAGCAAAGUUGAAGUGUGCCAGUUAUUUUGAAAAUAAAAGAGAAAUUCAGGUGUCCUGAUCAUCCUGAAGUAUUUCUCCUCUUCUUGUUCUUUUUAUUAGUUUAAUUAAUUUAUUUUUUGGGUCAGCAAAAGGAAUAUCAUAAAGGGCGCAAAGAAGGUGAUAGUAGGUAAAAUUAAGUAAUGAACCACCAUUCAACAGUUUAAGUUAACAUUCAGAAAGAAAAAUCAGUCAAUUUCCAAAGAAACAAGAUAAAGAUGCACUGUAGCUAGCUCUCAGGAUAAAAUUCUCAGAUUCAAUUGGCAUCGUAAAGUAUGAAUAUCUCUAGAAACUAAAGUUUCAGUUAGGGGCAAAAGCUUGCUACUUCAGUCUUGCUCCUUUGAAACAGGUUUUGGAUAAUGUGGAAAUAUAAAUACUGAUUCCUGAAUGGAUGCAAUACAGCAGUUGAUGAAGGAUAUACUCUAAGACUACCAAAAAUAAAGAAAUGCACAAACAAUUGAUUAUGUUAGCUUAGCUGACCUUACACAUAAUGUUUAUACCUUUCAAAGUUUUCAUGUCUGAGAGGUUUUAGAACCCCCUAUGGGAAGAAAUGUAGCAGUUCUGCGACUAAACGUCCAAGAUGAACAAAAAAAAUAUGCAGAACAAAUCAAUCAAUUUUUGCAUGCUAUCAGAUUUAAGACAAUAAUUUAGACUAUGCAUCCACAAAUAACUUUUAUGCUCAGUCACAAUAAAAAUGAGUUUUUGUACUGCCAUAUCAAACAAGAAGAAAUUAGAAUUAAUUAAACGCGAUUAGCAAAUGAGCAAAAAGUUCACCUCAGAUUCUCAUCCGCAAGUUCAAUGAGAAUAACUAUC